GAAUUUUGGACAAUGGGCGAAAGCCUGAUCCAGCAAUGCCGCGUGCAGGAUGAAGGCCUUCGGGUUGUAAACUGCUUUUGUACGGAACGUAAAGCUUUGGGUUAAUACUAUGUAGUCAUGACGGUACCGUAAGUAUAAGCACCUCACAACCACGUGCCACCCGCCGCGGUAAUACGUAGGGUGCAAGCGCUAAUUGGAAUUACUGGGCGUAAAGCGUGCUCAGGCGGUUUGGUAAGACAGAGGUGAAAUCCCCGGGGUCAACCUGGGAACUGCCUUUGUGACUGCAAGGCUAGAGUACGGCAGAGGGGGGUGGAAUUCCGCGUGUAGCAGUGAAAUGCGUAGAUAUGCGGAGGAACACCGAUGGCGAAGGCAACCCCCUGGGCCUGUACUGACGCUCAUGCACGAAAGCGUGGGGAGCAAACA
rnacentral:rRNA from 1 species